CAGCAGCCGCGGGAAUACGAAGGGUGCAAGCGUUAAUCGGAAUUACUGGGCGUAAAGCGUGCGUAGGCGGUGAGUUAAGUCUGCUGUGAAAUCCCCGGGCUCAACCUGGGAAUGGCAGUGGAUACUGGCUCGCUAGAGUGUGUCAGAGGAUGGUGGAAUUCCCGGUGUAGCGGUGAAAUGCGUAGAGAUCGGGAGGAACAUCAGUAGCGAAGGCGGCCAUCUGGGACAACACCGACGCUGAGGCACGAAAGCGUGGGGAGCAAACAGGAUUAGAUACCCGCGUAGUCCCUGUCUCUUAUAC
rnacentral:rRNA from 1 species